GCGUAUGUGUGUGUGUGUGUGUGUGUGUGUGUGUGUGCGCGUGCGUGUGAAUGAGUGAGUGAAACACAGCGAGCAAGUCUGAGUGUCGUUUAUGGAGAUACACUUAGAGGUAACGUUUAGCUAUUCUUAAGUUUACAAUUACUCUCAUUGGUUGGUGAUUAUAGUUUGGCGCGCAGUGAGCAGCGGAAAGAAAGAAUGCUUUAUUGGUCUACCUAAAUAAAUCUGAUAUUUUAAAAAUGUCAAAGAGACCGUCAAACAUAUUUUCAUUUUUUUUAAAUCCACGAGAAAAGUUGAUGGUGUGCCUGAUCAAAAGAAAUACCGAGAAGAUGGAACUGCACACCUGGAUGAAGAUAGCGGGAGACAGAAGCAAAGUGAGUUACACCGGGCAGAAAUAACGGAGGACGCAACCACGCUGUCGGUGACAGAAACUUUCACUGAUCAGAUAAAUGAUAUUGAGCACAGUCGUACUAAAUCGCCUAUGGUAGCAGAAAGCAUAUGGUAGCAGCAUGGGCGUCGCUAGGCCAUUUUUAGUGGGGCUUUAGCCCCCUAACAUUUCUACUGAGCCCUCCUAAAAUUCUGCGAUUCUCCAUAAACUGUACACAAAUUGGUGAUCUCCUCAGUCCCCUUUAAAUUCCAUAUGAAAAUGGCGCAGACUUUCGGCUCCUCCCCGUCUUUCAGCGCAUUCUUCAAUCCGCAGACCACAGCGUCGCAGAGCGAGGAUCAGAGGACAUGUGUGUGAGUGUGUGUGUGUGUGUGAGAGAGAGAGAGAGAGAGAGAGAGAUCAGGAAGACUCGUAUUUGGCUUGUUCAGUACUCAAAUGUUAUACACAUCUAUGCAAUACAGUGGAAUGCUGCAAUAAGUUUAUCAUCCUACCCUGUUAGUCAAACGUUUCAGAUGAAAACGACUUCUACAGUAUUUCGAGGCAAAACGCAAUAGACCUGCCCAUGGAUUCGAGCACGAAAUAGAUUGGCAAGAGUUCAAUGGCUUCGACUUGGGGCGUUUAUAAUUGCACUACCACCGUUUAGUGACGUCAUGUUCCGGGAAAACCGAAGUUGUGUGUUUGGUGUCGGUCACAGCGGCGAGAGACUGCUGGUUUUGUUCCAGAAAUGAUUAAUUUACAAAUUAAGCACUGGGCUCAAGGUCACGGCAAGGUUAAAUGUCUUAAAUAGUUUUUCUUCAACUGCUUCAUUCACGUUUGUUAUACGAUCAGGAACACAAGACCCAUUGUUUUCUGAUACUUCCAUCGGUUUUUCCGUCUGUUUCUCAGUCUACCCGAAGGAAAGUCUUCAAAUAAAGUCAAGUCAAAAGGUUUUUAUUGUAUUUUUUGACCAUAUAUCUGCUUAUCCAGAGCGACAUACAAGAGUGCUUUAAAGUCUCUAUCUAGGAAUACAUUAACACUGGUUCAAUAGGUCACAGACUCAGGAUACCAUCAGCCUAAAAACUGUGUUGGUAGUUUUUUUUUUUUUUUUUUAUCGACAUACAACAAUACAUAAAACAUUCAGGAAGGGGUAGGUCUUCAUCCGUAGUUUGAAGACAGCCAGUGACUCGGCUGUACGGACAUCUAGGGGAAAUUUGACCAUAUACCAUAUAUAGUCUUUUUGAUGCAGUACAUAGUGAAAAGAAACAAUGUUCCUCCAUGACCAUGAUGCUACAUAAAACAACACAGAGAUAAGGGCUGUGGAUAGUGUGCAGCCUAGUGCAAGAGAAAGGACAAAAGACAGUGAAAACAGACAAUACAAUACACUUCAAGACAGAUACAUAAAAGUUUAAAACUGCCGUCCAGUUUACAAUCUGUGUGGACCAUAGGGUGCUUGUUAUAUAACAUAUGUACACAUAUGAGAGUAGCAGUUAUGGUAGCGAUGUUGACUGCAGAUAAAUGUAUAUGUAAUGGAUGUAAGUGUAAGUGUAGAUGGACCAAUUACAUUUUGGCAUCUAUCCAAACAUGUCAAAAAGUACAUGCUGUCCAAUACAAAUAAAAAACAAGUUGGACUGGAUUUCUUGGCACUCAUCAUAGCCAUUUUCAUCAAGUUCUGCUUGUUUAAAUGAAGCUGGUCAUUGUUUUUCUUGUAUCACACCAUUUUAAUUGCAUUUCACACAACAAAUGUGCUUGUAUCAUUUUAGUAAUUUCUCUAAUGUUUCUCAAGUUUUUUUCUUAACUUUGUUUCUGUUUCUUGAGAAGUCAGAACCUUAUUUUUAGAUUUCAUAUGAAAUUGGACACUGUUUUGUUACCUUUGUAACUGCCCCCCAGUAGGCCACAUCCCACUGUGCAUAAGUCAAAGUGCUGCAAAACCUCACCCCACAUUCCUCUUGAAGCUUUUACUCACACAGCUGGUGCCCAAAAGUGGAAAAAAUGGAAGGAAAAGCAACUAUGCCUACUGGUGUAUCCCAUGCACCCACAUACCUGGCUUGGUCCAUUUUUAACACACUAUGCUGCUGUCUUCCUCUUGGAGUCAUUGCAAUUGUGUUCUCCUGCCGGACUGACACGGCUAACACAAUUGGUGAUUCUACCAGAGCUAAUGCGCACUCCAGUACGGCCAAAAAGCUGAAUAUUGCCUCACUGGUCAUUGGAAUCGUGUUUCUCAUCAUUAUCAUCAUAUUCUAUGUGGUUGUGCAUCAAAAACAGGCAUAAAUACAAGUUUAAUGGCAAUGAAGCCAAAUCAUGAAAUGUAUGGUUACAUAAGACUCCGAGGGAUCGUAAACACUGCCCACUCGG